AUGUUUUUAGAAACUUUUUAAAAGGAAACUAAAUAAAAAAUAAUAAUAUUAUUUAAUAUUUUUAAUUCAUUAAGGGUAUUAAUGUAGUCGACCAUCGUGAGAGUUAAUAUGAAAACGGCACAUAAGAAACUGACUUCUCAAAUAAUAUUAUAGAGAUAUCAUCUAGUGCAAAUAAAUUUAAGUGUCCAUGUUUUCUUGAUGAAUAAGUUAGUUAAAUGAAAAUUUCUUUGUGAUAAAGUAACUUGAGCCUUGAAAUGAAGAGAAGUCAUAGCGGCAUAGAUUACAGUUCAAGUCCACAGCUACAGAAGAAGGAGAACCUGUAUCAGGCUUACAGGCUACUCAGCAAAAAUAUCCGAUGUAGGUAACGCUACCAUGUACCCAUUCAGAAGAUGAAAGACAUCCAAUGUAUGGAGUUCCAUACCAGGCUAAAAACCAUUAUGAUGGACAGCUACAGAAGAAGCUUGAGGAAGAGAAGACAUCCACUUGUUUUGGGGGCCGACUCAGUUUUUCUUGGAUUAGUAGACUUACUGAUCAAUUAGUUCAAUAGUGCUUAUUAGAUCCUUAACAAGCAAAUAAAAGUCUAGCCAAGUAAGUCUGGUUAGUGAAUUGAUUACUGUUAUAAGAGUGGGUCAAUAGUGAUUCAUGUGUUAAGAUUUUAUUUAAUGAUUCUUCGUGCACCUUAUGAAAUCUUUUCUUAUUAAUUAGUAGUAACUAACAUUAAAACAUACAUUUGAGACCCCUUAAAAGCCUCUUCUAGGUAGUUAUUUAUACCUUGUACUAUUUGAAUUUUGCUUCUAAGCCUUUGAGACUAAUCAAUAUAUACAAUACUAAAAGGGAUAUAUGAGCUCCAUUGAGUCUAUCCAGGUCAGCAUAAAAAAUCAGCCAAUGAGAAACUUAGUUUUUGCCACGUCACACCAGACUUGGAUAGUAUUGGGCUUUUUUUUUAUCCUUGAAGUGAAUUAUUUGGCUCAAAUUCCAUGUCAUCUUCUCUUCCGGAACUCAAUCUCGCAGCCUCCACUUUUCAGAGCUUCAUCUCUUCACCUCCCAUUCGUAUCUCUUAAGCUUCCCUGUUUUAAUUAUGCCAUAAUUACUGCUUCUGAUCGCUUUCGUCUUCAUCGCCGUCUUCAACCUCUUAACGAUCGGACCAACCACUUUCAGCGUUUUCCAACUACUCUAUUGACUACAGCUGAAACCGAUCUCCACCAAAGUAAAAUCAGUGUCUCUCUUAAGCUAUGAAGAUUUGGGUCUUGAAGGAAUCAAACAAAGAGUUAAGUUUGUUUUUAUUUUCAACUUUCGAUUCCUUAUUCUGUCAUUAUGAUUAGACUUAGCUAAGAUUUGUGCUUGAUCCGUAUUCCUACAAUGUUACCAUGACUGAAAACCUGGCGGCUGAGAAUGAAAGGAUGAAUGAUGUCGCAAAGAUCAAAGUUGUUAUUUUUGAGAACAGAUGCCUAAGUGACUACUUUAAAAAAAAAGUAUUCAGCAAAAAAACGAAGAAGACGUUGUUGACACAAAUUCCAAUUGCUUAA